rnacentral:rRNA from 1 species
ACUGGCCUAGGGAGAGCGGCAACGUUCACCCAGGGCCGGAAAGUUGUCCAAACUUGGUCAUUUAGAGGAAGUAAAAGUCGUAACAAGGUCUCCGUAGGUGAACCUGCGGAGGGAUC